rnacentral:rRNA from 1 species
AUUGAACGCUGGCGGCAGGCCUAACACAUGCAAGUCGAGCGGAUGAAGGGAGCUUGCUCCUGGAUUCAGCGGCGGACGGGUGAGUAAUUCCUAGGAAUCUGCCUGGUAGUGGGGGAUAACGUCCGGAAACGGGCGCUAAUACCGCAUACGUCCUGAGGGAGAAAGUGGGGGAUCUUCGGACCUCACGCUAUCAGAUGAGCCUAGGUCGGAUUAGCUAGUUGGUGGGGUAAAGGCCUACCAAGGCGACGAUCCGUAACUGGUCUGAGAGGAUGAUCAGUCACACUGGAACUGAGACACGGUCCAGACUCCUACGGGAGGCAGCAGUGGGGAAUAUUGGACAAUGGGCGAAAGCCUGAUCCAGCCAUGCCGCGUGUGUGAAGAAGGUCUUCGGAUUGUAAAGCACUUUAAGUUGGGAGGAAGGGCAGUAAGUUAAUACCUUGCUGUUUUGACGGUACCAACAGAAUAAGCACCGGCUAACUUCGUG